AGGUGCGAUCAUACCAGCACUAGUGCACCAGAUCCCAUCAGAACUCCGCAGUUAAGCGUGCUUGGGCGAGAGUAGUACUCGGAUUUGUGACUUCCUGGAAAGUCCUCGUGUUGCACCUC
rnacentral:rRNA from 2 species